rfam:Loxodonta africana unplaced genomic scaffold scaffold_6, whole genome shotgun sequence.
CCCUUUGUGGUGCAAAUGGUUAACAUGCUUGGCUGAUAACCAAAAGGUUGGAGGUUCGAAUCCACCCAGAGGUU